ensembl:lncRNA TNS2-AS1 TNS2 antisense RNA 1
GUACUUGUCCCGGUGCUUGGAUUGCAGCACAUGGGCCAGCUCGCGCAGGUGGCCCCGGUGCCGCUGUUCAUCGGGCCGCGCGGGGAAGGCGGCGGCCAAGAUGCGCUCCGUCACGUAGGAUGAGCAAUACCCACAGCACUCCGUUCAAGGUCAUCUCCUGGGGGCCCUCUCUGGAGCCACCAGACCUCUGGACACCAUGGCCAGGUUCCUUGCCCUCCCCACCCCAUCCCAGAGCGCACUCACCAACUCCACGGGAGGCAAGGCCUGACAGGCUGAAGUCACCUGGAAGGGGACCGAUGCCUGGUACUGGAUAGGAACUUCAUGGAAUGGAGCUAAUGGGCCGUAGGGCAGGUUUGAGUCGUGCCACCCUGGAGCAGAAGGUGGAGGGUAGGGAUAAGGGGGUGGAGCACCUGAUUCCAAUCUUGCCACAGGGAAGAAGAGUCUGUGAAGAAGUGCGUGAUGACUGUGUGUCCCCCCCCACCCAGAAAUUGGCAUUUGGGAGGGGUGGAUAUGGUUGGGACUGGGGAGCCUUGAUCUUACUGCUCUUGGUUGAGUUGGUGUCCAAUAGACAGUUUCAGAGGUUAGAGCAGUGGGAGUCACUGGGGACUGGGGACAGGAGAGGUGGGGGUGGGGGAAGCCAGGCGGGAAUGAGUAGGGAGGCACUGGGAGGAGGGGAGAGGCAAGAGUUAGGGGAAUACCGAGGAAAGUGGCAGGGAUUGGAGGCUCCUGGAGAAAGGGCAAGGCUGAAGGUUGUCCCAUGUAUUUUGGCCAGAUUUGAUUAUGUAAUCGAGAAUCAUGAGAUAAUUAAGUGUGUUCAUGUCUCUGGAGCCUUCAACCAGCUCUUUUAACAUCUUGCUCUUCCCAGCAUUCCUUAGGGUCUUUGGCUGGGCUCUGGGAUGGAUGCCAUGGGAGUACCUUUACUUAAGCUCUAAAGUUACCAAUGGAGAGACUGGGACUCAAAGAGGAACUUGAUUGGACCCCAGAGAGGUGAGGGGUAAGGGCUAGAACCUCACACAUGCUGGUUUUGCUGCUGCCUGGCAGGCCCAUGGGAAGAACUUUAGAGGUUCCAAGGAAUUGGAAAAGGGUCACAAGAUGGGUGGCCAAACUCCCAGCUCAGGCUUGAUUCCUACUCUCAAUGUGGGGAUAGUGGAGAAGGGGGCUGCAGGAAGGGCUGAGAAAAGCUGAGAAUGAGAAGUUAUACAGGAGGUAGCUUGGUGGGAGUGAAACAAAAAUGAGUGGUUCAUGGGCCAGCCAGGCAUCCUGAUUUCCAGCUCACAGCAGCAGGAGCUUCAGAGAGGAAGAAGGAGAGGAGGAGAAAGCCAGGUUGAUGUUAGUAAAGGUCAAACAAUUUCAGGAGCACCUCUGACCUCCCUCCACACAGGUUUUCUUACCUUGACUAUGCAGAGGGUGGUCCAUCUUGGCACUGAAGAUGGAACCCCCUCUUCCAUGGUCUGGGGUGACCCCAUGCCUGUAACUGAAUGUGCUCAGAUCCUUGGGGUGCGGGGACUGUAGGGGGAGGAUUUGAAGGUGUGGGACUGUCCUGGCUGGAGACCACUGGGUCAGGAGAACUCCAGUAGAGGGUUUGGGUGCUGGGAACCAGGAAGAGUGGGGGAAGGGGCAGAGCCAACUCCAGAGGCGGAUCUCCUGGCUGAGGACAGAGGGUGUAUUGUCCAAGCUGGAGGUUGCUGUAGCUGGGCGGGGAGCAGCUCAGCUCGUCUCUUCCAAAUUUCUUUUGGGGGAGGGUAAGGGAAGGCAAGCCCCCCUUUACUUGUGGCCCUGGGGGCUACAAUGGUUGCUGAGAAACAAGGCUUAUUUGACAAAUAAUGCUUCCCAGGAGCAGAUGUGUAGCUCUCUCACUUCCUGAGAAACCAGAUGCUGUGAGCUCGCUUAGCACUUGAGGCGACGCCCUCAGCACGAACUGGGACCCUAGUGCCUUGGGAUCCGGAGUAUAGUGCUUGAUUCUAUUGAGAAGAAACGAGGCUAAUGUGGACUGGGAGACACACGGGACCUAAUCAGCCUCAAGUUAGCCCUUUUGAAGUAGGUUGCUGCACCUGCACUUUCCCCCUACUCGUCCACUAGUUCAAGAUUUACAAGACGUUGACAAUGAGGGCUGACCAGUCCUGGGUCCACUCCUGCAGCUGGGGGGCUUCUCGGUGGACCCACACUUUUUUUUUGAGACAGGGUCUUGCUCUGUUGCCCAGGCUGGAGUGUAGUGGUGUGAUCACAGCUCACUGCAGCCUUGACCUCCUGGGUUCAAGUGAUCCUUCCUCCCAAGUAGCUGCAACUAUGGGCAUACACCACCAUACCUGGAUAAUUUUUCUAUUUUUUUGUAGAGACAGGGUCUUGCCAUGUUGCCCUGACUAGUCUCAAACUUCUAGGCUCAAGCGAUUCUCCUGCCUCAUCCUCCCAAAGUGCUGGGAUUACAGGUGUGAGCAACCAUUGAGACAAGAGUCUCGCUCUGUCACCCAGGCCGGAGUGCAGUGGUGCGAUCCCGGUCCACUGCAACCUCCACUUCCCGGGUUCAAGCGAUUCUUCUGCCUCAGCCUCCUGAGUAGCUGGGACUACAGGUGUACACCACCAUGCCUAGCUAAUUUUUGUAUUUUUAGUAGAGACGGGGUUUCACCCUAUUAGCCAGGCUGGUCUAGAACUCCUGACCACAUGAUGUGCCCGCCUUGGCCUCCCAAAGUGCUGGGAUUACAGCUGUGAGCCAUGGCACCUGGCCACACACGUCUUUUUAAAUUUAAAUGAGGAUGUGGCCAUAUUACAGCCCAGGUUUUCUCUGACUUUAGAGUACCUUUUGGGACAUAGGGCCUUCCUCUCUACCCUUUCUGUACACAGCCAUCAUAAACCUCUUUCAACAAGC